rnacentral:rRNA from 1 species
CACGUAGGGCGCAAGCGUUGUCCGGAAUUAUUGGGCGUAAAGAGCUCGUAGGCGGUCUGUUGCGUCCGCUGUGAAAACUCGGGGCUUAACCCCGAGCCUGCAGUGGAUACGGGCAGACUAGAGGUAGGUAGGGGAGAAUGGAAUUCCCGGUGUAGCGGUGAAAUGCGCAGAUAUCAGGAGGAACACCGGUGGCGAAGGCGGGUCUCUGGGCCGAUACUGACGCUGAGGAGCGAAAGCGUGGGGAGCGAGCAGG